rnacentral:rRNA from 1 species
CUACGGGUCGCACCAGUGGGGAAUAUUGCACAAUGGGGGAAACCCUGAUGCAGCAACGCCGCGUGAAGGAAGAAGGCUCUUGGGUUGUAAACUUCUUUGAAUGGGGACGAAACAAAUGACGGUACCCAUAAAACAAGCCACGGCUAACUACGUGCCAGCAGCCGCGGUAAUACGUAGGUGGCAAGCGUUAUCCGGAAUUACUGGGUGUAAAGGGCGUGUAGGCGGGAGAGCAAGUCAGAUGUGAAAUGCCAAGGCUUAACCAUGGAACUGCAUCUGAAACUGUUUUUCUUGAGUACUGGAGAGGAAAGUGGAAUUCCUAGUGUAGCGGUGAAAUGCGUAGAGAUUAGGAGGAACACCAGUGGCGAAGGCGGCUUUCUGGACAGUAACUGACGCUGAGGCGCGAAAGCGUGGGGAGCAAACAGGAUUAGAUACCCUAGUAGUC